AUGAACGCUGGCGGCGUGCCUCAUACAUGCAAGUCGAGCGAACGGACGAGAAGCUUGCUUCUCUGAUGUUCGCGGCGGACGGGUGAGUAACACGUGGAUAACCUACCUAUAAGACUGGGAUAACUUCGGGAAACCGGAGCUAAUACCGGAUAAUAUUUUGAACCGCAUGGUUCAAAAGUGAAAGACGGUCUUGCUGUCACUUAUAGAUGGAUCCGCGCUGCAUUAGCUAGUUGGUAAGGUAACGGCUUACCAAGGCAACGAUGCAUAGCCGACCUGAGAGGGUGAUCGGCCACACUGGAACUGAGACACGGUCCAGACUCCUACGGGAGGCAGCAGUAGGGAAUCUUCCGCAAUGGGCGAAAGCCUGACGGAGCAACGCCGCGUGAGUGAUGAAGGUCUUCGGAUCGUAAAACGCUGUUAUUAGGGAAGAACAUAUGUGUAAGUAACUGUGCACAUCUUGACGGUACCUAAGCAGAAAGCCACGGCUAACUACGU
rnacentral:rRNA from 1 species